GACGAACGCUGGCGGCGUGCUUAACACAUGCAAGUCGAGCGGUAAGGCCCUUCGGGGUACACGAGUGGCGAACGGGUGAGUAACACGUGGGUGAUCUGCCCUGCACUUCGGGAUAAGCCCGGGAAACUGGGUCUAAUACCGGAUAGGACCACUGCCUGCAUGGGUGGUGGUGGAAAGCUUUUGCGGUGUGGGAUGGGCCCGCGGCCCAUCAGCUUGUUGGUGGGGUGAUGGCCUACCAAGGCGACGACGGGUAGCCGGCCUGAGAGGGUGACCGGCCACACUGGGACUGAGAUACGGCCCAGACUCCUACGGGAGGCAGCAGUGGGGAAUAUUGCACAAUGGGCGCAAGCCUGAUGCAGCGACGCCGCGUGAGGGAUGACGGCCUUCGGGUUGUAAACCUCUUUCAGCACCGACGAAGCGCAAGUGACGGUAGGUGCAGAAGAAGGACCGGCCAACUACGUGCCAGCCGCCGCAGUAA
rnacentral:rRNA from 1 species